CAACGGGGAGGUCCCAGAGUACGAUAACUUUGUACUGAAUAGUCUUUGGUUCUAUCUAACAAUAGGAUGCCAACUCAUAUCCAGUCUCUUUGGUGUGGUGUGUAUUGAUGAAAAGGCUUCUGGAUACUUACCUCUGAGACCACUUUGCCAGCCAGAGCCUUGAAUGCUGAAGAGGACGGGUUGGCAAGAUCCGAGGUGAAUUUCUCAUCGAGACUGAACCGAAGAAUCAGGGUUCCUUCACUAGAAGAAGGAGGGUCAGUUGGUGCGAAAGCAGUGGUGGUUGCUGCCGGAACAGCGGUGGUGGUGGUUGCUGCCGGAACAGCGGUGGUGGUGGUUGCUGACGGAACAGCGGUGGUGGUGGUUGCUGACGGAACAGCGGUGGUGGUGGUUGCUGACGGAACAGCGGUGGUGGUGGUUGCUACCGGAACAGCGGUGGUUGUGGUUGCUACAGGAACAGCGGUGGUGGUGGUUGCUACCGGAACAGCGGUGGUGGUGGUUGCUGCGGAACAGCGGUGGUGGUGGUUGCUACCGGAACAGCGGUGGUGGUGGUUGCUGACGGAACAGCGGUGGUGGUGGUUGCUGCCGGAACAGCCUGCAGGAACAGCGGUGGUGGUGGUUGCUGCCGGAACAGCGGUGGUGGUGGUUUUGGCCACUGCCGGAGGGGUCGUGGUGACAUUUGCUAGUGUGGUGGUGGUCACAGCUGCAGUUAGAGCAGCAGUUGUUGCAGCGGAGGUGGUUGCAUUAGUCAUUGUAGUAGCGCCUGAAAAAUGCAACAUUCAAUGCAAUGUUUACAUUUUGCAAUUAAUAUUUUUUUUUUUUGAAAUAUUGGUCACAUACACGUGUUUAGCAGAUGUUACUGCGUGUGUAGCGAAAUGUUUGUGCUUCUGGUUCUGACAGUGCAGCAAUAUCUAACAAUUAAUAUCUAAAAAUUCCACAACAUAUUCCGAAAACACACAAAUCUAAGCAACGAAUGGAUUUAAGAAUAUAUAAAUAUAUGGGAGAGCAAUAUCAGAGUGGCAUAGACUAAGAAAACAGUAUAAUAUUAUAGAAUACCUUAAUAAACAUAUGAGAUGAAGUGCCUGAUCAGUUGUGUUUUGGGAUCUCAGGACAGAAUAAUAACAACAUAACUGUAUAUUUGAAUGUAUAUAUUUCCCAGUUGUCAGGGUCAUACCCAAAUUUUGGGGAACUGAUAUGAUUAAAAUUGAAACCAUUUGUGAGAAGAUGUAAUGUGAUUUUAGACUUCUUAACCAAGUCAGUGUAAGCACAGACAUUACGACAAAAGGAGGGAACACCCCUUUUCCCCCGAGUGCAUAAAACCCACUCGUGAGAAUGUACAAUUAGUCAAGAAAACGCAGGGACGGGAGUCCCCACGUUGAAAUGGCAACUACUCUAUAGAACAAGCAGACGGACAGUGUUGAACCGGACGUUGCGAAUGGUUAGGAAAUCUACAAAACUAAAGAUGCACACAUUCACAGUCUGCAACUGUAUAUGUGAAAUAGUCUAGGAAACUCGACCGAAGACGAGAGGAGAACAUUUCACAAUCAAACGACCGAAUUGUACUCUGAAAGAUCCAUUCUGGAGAACAUUUCCCUAUAGAACAACCAGUGGUACAUCUGACGUAUCCAUUGUAACAGAGCUACAACUAAGAAAGACUUUGAUCUCUGGUGGACACAGCCAGAGAAUUUCUGUCGACCGACUCUCCAGCAGACAGACCGAAGAUUUCGUCAAAGAGACAACAAGACAUACAGGCGUGAAUAUAUAUAUUGCAAUUCUUUUCAAAUGAGCGGCUGUUCAUGUGAAAAGUAUUAUCAUUUCAAUUAGCCUUUUUAUCAACUGUGUGUAGUGGGUCCCAUUAUGUCUUUCCCACUCUUUAUCUGUCCCCACCCCUGUCCAUUGUCUACCAAGCCGUCAUAUCGGUUUAGUCCACUAGGGACCCUUUAUUGCAUUGUUUUCGUAACCAAGAAGCAAGACGUCGGCGUCCGCAACAUGGCUGGUUUUCCUUUUGUUUCCUCUGGUUUUCCUUUUGUAGUCCAUGAUUGUCUGUAGACCCUGCCACAUACGCCGUUGAAUUGAGCCAUUGAAUUGUGAAUCCACUGUCUCUAUACUGACGUUUUGCCUGUUUGAUUGCCUUGUCGGAGGGAAUGACUACUCUGUUUGUAUUCUUCCAUAUUCCCAGUCACCUUCCAUGUUUAAAUGCGGUGGUUCGUGUUUUCUGUUUUACGCGAAUAGUGCCAUCUAUCCACGGUCUCUGGUUAGGGUUGGUUUUAAUAGUCACAGUGGGUACAAAAUUCCUAUACACUUCCUGAUAAACUCAGUUAUCGUUUUAGUUCGUCCAUAUUAUUCUUGGAAGCUACCCGGAAUAUAUCCCAAAACAGUCUUGAAGCAUGGAUUCCAAUUGGUCAGACCAGCAUUGAAUAGUGCUCAGCACGGGUAUUAACAGUUUGAGUUUCUGCCUAUAGGAAGGGAGCAGAAAAAUGGAGUUAUGGUCAGAUUUGCCGAAAGGAGGGCGGGGGAGGGACUGGUAUGCAUCCCGGAUGUUUGUAGUAACAGUGGUCUAGUGUUUUAGCAGCAUGAGUACAACAGUCAAAUUGCUGAUAGAAUUUAGGCAGCCUUUUUCUCAAAUUUGCUUCGUUCAAAUCUCCAGCUAAAAUAAAUGCAUCUUCAAGAUAUAUGGUUUCCAGUUUGCAUAAAGUCCAGUGAAGUUCCUUGAGGGCCAUCGUGGUAUCAGCUUGAGGGGGGAUAUACAUUUGAUUGUGAGGUAUUCUAGGUCAGGUGAACAAAAGGACUUGUAUGUUCCUCUAUGUUAUCACAAUUACAUAAUUUGUUGUUAAUCAUCAAACAUACAUCUCCUUCUUCCCAGCGAGAUGUUAAUUACUGUCGGUGCGAUGAACUGAUAAUGCAGAUUGCCUGACCAACUCCGACAGUAUAUCCCGAGAGAGCCAUGUUUCCGUGAAACAGAGUAUGUUGCAAUCCGUGAUGUCUCUCUGGAAAGAAACCCUUGCCCUAAUCUCGUCAACGUUGUUAAUCAGGGACUGAACAUUAGCAAAUAAUAUACUCUGGAGAGGUGUGUCAUGUGCGUGCCUUCUAAGAUGGACUAGAAGAACUCUCCGAGGACCCCUUUUUCACCGGCGUUGUUUUGGGUCAGCCUCUGGAAUCAGUUCAAUUGCCCUCGGUGGUGCAAACAAAGGAUCUGCUUGGGGAAAGUCGUAUUGCUGGUCGUAUGCUGGUAGUGCUGGUGAGUUACCGUCGCUCUGAUAUCUAAUAGUGCUUCCCAGCUGUAAUAAAUAACACGUACAUUUUCUGGGCUAACAAUGUGAGAAAAAAUACUGAAAAAAAAUUAACACUGCAAAGUUUCCUAAGAACGAGAAGCGAGGCAGCCCUAUCUUUCGGCGCCAUCUAGUGUUUUGAGUGUGUGAGAAUAGGUAAAGCGAUGUGUUGAUGAAUUGUCUUACGUGUGACCACAAUGGAGGAUGAAUUGAUAGGUAAUGUCAGGCCAGACGUGUUGGAAGUAAUGGCAGUUUGUAAGGUUUGUGCUACCAGGCUAUCGUUAGGCACUGAGCUGAUGUUGUUGAAUAUCAAUGUAGACUCCACCACAAUUGACCCUGACCUGAAAAUGAUAUGAGAAAUGUUAAGAACUUUUACAAGCGUUACUUCAGUAACAACCCACUCCCAAGGCAUACUAAAUAACAAUACUCAUUGAAAUGUUAUUUUUCUCCAUCAUCCACACUGUUUCAAAGUAUUUCAGAUGAUAAUCAUUUACCCACCUGAAACUAUUGACAACAGUUCGAAGGAAUCUGACUCCAAAUAGAGCCUUGAAC
ensembl:lncRNA